GCCAUGCUGACGAGUCCUAAUGAGGACGAAACAGCUGUCCAUGGU
rfam:Nematostella vectensis strain CH2 x CH6 NEMVEscaffold_104_Cont12784, whole genome shotgun sequence.